rnacentral:rRNA from 1 species
GAUGAACGCUGGCGGCGUGCCUAAUACAUGCAAGUCGAGCGAACAGACGAGGAGCUUGCUCCUCUGACGUUAGCGGCGGACGGGUGAGUAACACGUGGAUAACCUACCUAUAAGACUGGGAUAACUUCGGGAAACCGGAGCUAAUACCGGAUAAUAUUUUGAACCGCAUGGUUCAAUAGUGAAAGACGGUGUUGCUGUCACUUAUAGAUGGAUCCGCGCCGCAUUAGCUAGUUGGUAAGGUAACGGCUUACCAAGGCAACGAUGCGUAGCCGACCUGAGAGGGUGAUCGGCCAGACUGGAACUGAGACACGGUCCAGACUCCUACGGGAGGCAGCAGUAGGGACUCUUCCGCAAUGGGCGAAAGCUUGACGGAGCAACGCCGCGUGAGUGAUGAAGGUCUUCGGAUCGUAAAACUCUGUUAUUAGGGAAGAACAAAUGUGUAAGUAACUGUGCACAUCUUGACGGUACCUAAUCAGAAAGCCACGGCUAACUACGUG